rnacentral:lncRNA from 1 species
CGAGGAGCCGACUGGGCGGCAGCGGGGCGGGGCGGCCCCGGGGCUCCGAGCGCCGCCUCGGCUUCUGCGACCCCCCUUUUCCCCACUUAGAAUCGUGCCGAGGGAUCUGGAGACGUCCUAGAGAGGUUUGGGGGCAUCCAGGGGGUUCUGGACUCAUGCAGAAGAGUCUGGAGAUGUCCAAGGAGGAUCCAGGGAGUCCCCAGGCCUGCCUGCAGCCGGACCCGGUGACACCGGAGCCCUGUGGCGCUGUCAGGAGGUGAACUGUGUGCCACCAGCAGAGGGGACCAUGGGUGACAUCAGUGUGGAACAGCCGUGACGCGGCGGCGUUGUCAUUGGGUGUCACCGUCACGCAGAGGGGACAAAAGGACCCCCCUGGGGGCAUUGCGUCGAAGUUGGGGACACCGUGAGCAGCUUGAGGACUUCCCAGGGGAAGUGGGGGCACCGUGUCACCGUGUCACACCCCAAAGUUGCGGACGACCCCACAGUGUCACACCCCAAAGAUGGGGAAACCUCUGCAGUGUCACACCCCAAAGUUGGGGACACCCCUGCAGUGUCACAUCCCAAAGCUGGGGACACUCCACAGUGUCACACCCCAAAGUUGGAGUCUGUCCCAGAGGUGGGAGUGCCCCCACAUCCCCACCAUGGCGUCACAUCCCAAAGUUGGGGACCCCCCCUCUGGGGACCCAUUCAGUGCUUCCCCCAUUGCAGACCGCACUGUUCCCAUGGGGUGGGGGCGGGGGGCAUUCUUUAUUUUUGGGAUUAAGGUUUAUUUCGUGAUAAAGGGGCGUUGGGGGAUGCCCCCCCACGUGAAUAAAGGGCGGAGGAGCGGC